rnacentral:rRNA from 1 species
GACGAACGCUGGCGGCGUGCUUAACACAUGCAAGUCGAACGGAAAGGCCCUGCUUUUGUGGGGUGCUCGAGUGGCGAACGGGUGAGUAACACGUGAGUAACCUGCCCUCGACUUUGGGAUAACUUCAGGAAACUGGGGCUAAUACCGGAUAGGAGCUCCUGUUGCAUGGUGGGGGUUGGAAAGUUUCGGCGGUUGGGGAUGGACUCGCGGCUUAUCAGCUUGUUGGUGGGGUAGUGGCUUACCAAGGCUUUGACGGGUAGCCGGCCUGAGAGGGUGACCGGCCACAUUGGGACUGAGAUACGGCCCAGACUCCUACGGGAGGCAGCAGUGGGGAAUAUUGCACAAUGGGCGGAAGCCUGAUGCAGCAACGCCGCGUGCGGGAUGACGGCCUUCGGGUUGUAAACCGCUUUCGCCUGUGACGAAGCGUGAGUGACGGUAAUGGGUAAAGAAGCACCGGCUAACUACGUG